rnacentral:lncRNA from 1 species
GGAGUCCUAGGAUUUCCUAUAAGAAGACCCCCUCUCUUUAGAAUUGAUCCAUCGACUCUUUUUCCCUCUUUUCCUCUCUGAUUUUCCCGAAGAAGAGCCGCGAUCCCUUGCCUUGUUCUCGCCGUGACUGCUCUCCGACGAGGCCACCGGAGGUCAAGGUAAGUUUCUUUUUUUUUCCCUCUUCCUUCCUCUUCCUUCCGUGCUCCUGUGCGCGGCUGCCGGC